CCAGCGCCUGUAUAUGGGUUGCCCGCUCAACGCGUUGCGCUAUACGAGCGCCCUCGAGCUGUCUCUUAAUGUUAAAUGAAUGCAUUUAAAUUGCAUAUGAACUGUUCCAUCAGUCGCUUUGGUUUGACAUCAAACAAACAGUUUAUUGGCAUUUCAAAAUGAAUGCAUCCCCUUCCAUUUGACAAACAAAGGAAGUUUUUCUCUCAGCAAAAUAUAGGCUUUGUUAUUAUAAUAAUAAUAAUAAUAAUAAUAAUAAUAAUAAUAAUAAUAAUAAUAAUAAUAAUAAUGAUCAACCCAAGAGCUGAAUAACAGGUGGAGAAGGAUUUAACAAUGCAGAAAAAUCUACAAAAAGAAACAAAAACAAAAAAACCAAGGAGGACAAGCACAAAUUCUUUGGACUUGCUUGGUAACCAACUACAGAGCAGGUGGUGGGAUAGUAGGCUGAAGCCUGGAGGCUGAAAUCACCAAAAUGUGGGCAGAAAAAAACACAUGCGCUGAAAGCUAUCCAGACCUUGUGACGGGGACAUACUUAACGUAAUUCAAAAAACUAACAAAAACAAGGAGUGAGCUAGAAUAACAGAAAUGUUAGCAUGCUAUUCUAAUGUAGCAAGCUACAGGACCGAUUCAGGGCAUUAACUUACUGUUUACAUGCUGCCAACAACAUGGACUGCACUCACAUUUUGCUGAAUGAUUUUGUGGAGGUCGAUCAGAACAAUUUGAUGCCUCAUCUCAUUUCCCAGUUUGUACGUCCGCAAUCUGAGGAGUCAAGGCAACAGGCAUUUCAUUUAAAUGAGACAUCUUUGCCCUGGAGCUGUUGUUUUAAUGUGGCAUCAGUUAAACACAACGCAGCUGCAUCAUCUGUCUAUUGUUUUGCUAUAAUAUACCCCUGUUAUACAUUAUACUAUUUUAAGAUCCCUGUCAGGAGCAGAAAAGUGUUCAUGAUAACUUACAAUACAUACUUACUCAUAAUUCAAUUCACAAUGUGGCAACAUGUAACAAGAACGUACAGAUGAUAUCCUUUCAUUAUUUAGCAAACACUGGCGGUGAAGGAUAAAAGGCACAACAUACAAAAGAGUACUAUACAAACAAAGAGUGACAAGUAUUCUGGUGAGAUGAGCCUAGAGCCAGAAGUAGUGUGCAUGAUAACUGUCUUCCAUUCAGUUAAGUGUUGGGUUGAAUAUGAAAAGGCUGUUGUAGGAGUAUGUUUUGUUCAGCUUAUUAAAACUCAUCUUGGUCAAACACACAUACAGCUCUCAGGCUUUUCUGCCUAUUUCUUGCAUUGUUUUAACUCCUGAUUCCAUUUGAAUAUAAAGAUAACAGCACGAUCUCUAGGUUUAAACUAAUCUACACUGAUUCUUUUUUUUUUUUUUUUUUUAAAGGCUUUUUGCUGUCUAAAACGGGGAGGAAGUAGCUCAAGGGACAUUCAGAUUUGUUAAUGAAGAGUUAUUGGAGUCUUAAUUCAUUCUGUUUUGUUAAUGAAAUGAGUAAGAAACCACAUUUUCAGAGAUUUGAGAACUGAUAGGACUGAUUAUAGAGUUGAAUCUGUGAAAUCAAAUCUUUCAAUACUCAGCCUUGUUUUAUCAUCCUGUUUAAUAAAGCUUUAAGUCUGUUGUUUUUAGACUUUCAUAGUAAAUGACUCCUUAAGUGUUUCACCUUUUUCUCCUGCUGGUUUUUUUUCUUCUUUGCAUUUAGCCACACUUUAAUCUGUGAUUAAAACUUUCUACUGUGUCUCUCUGCUUCCUGACUGUUCCACCUGCCUGCAGUCUGAUUGCAGCAAUGAGAAUCAGCUGCCGUAAUUGGCUCACACCAGUCGCCUGUUUGCAAUUCCACCUCCCAGCAUAUAAGCCAGCUCUGUCAUUCCCUCCCUGCUCCACCACGGAGUCGCAUAUCCUGCGUCAGCUCAUGACCACCAGAGCUUCUUGGACACGACUCUGCCCUCGUAGCCCUGCCAGUUCCUGUAUGGGUUUCCUACCUACCCCUUCAGCUGAGUUUCUUCCCGUUCCCUUCCUCCCUGACCGUUCCACCUGCCUGCGGUCUGAUUGCAGCAAUGAGAAUCAGCUGCCGUAAUUGGCUCACACCAGUCGCCUGUUUGCAAUUCCACCUCCCAGCAUAUAAGCCAGCUCUGUCAUUCACUCCCUGCUCCACCAUGGACUUGCAUAUCCUGCGUCAGCUCAUGACCACCAGAGCUUCUUGGACACGACUCUGCCCUCGUAGCCCUGCCAGUUCCUGUAUGGGUUUCCUACCUACCCCUUCAGCUGAGUUUCUUCCCGUUCCCUUCCUCCCUGACUGUUCCACCUGCCUGCGGUCUGAUUGCAGCAAUGAGAAUCAGCUGCCGUAAUUGGCUCACACCAGUCGCCUGUUUGCAAUUCCACCUCCCAGCAUAUAAGCCAGCUCUGUCAUUCACUCUCUGCUCCACCAUGGACUUGCAUAUCCUGCAUCAACUCAUGACCACCAGAGCUUCUUGGACACGAUGCUGCCCUUGUACCCCUGCCAGUUCUUGUUUGGGUUUCCUACCUACCCCUUCAGCUGAGUUUCUUCCUGUGACCAUGUGCUACAAAGCAUUACCGGGUAACAAAUACACCUGAUGAAGAUCAGAAAUAUUCAAGCAGAAACCUUCAGCUUCCACGAAGGUGGAAAUCAUUCUGCCAUGAAGACCUAACAACCUUCAAAGACAAUUUGAAAAUGGGAAGAAGUGCUGCGUCACUCUGCGAAGUGCUGCGUCACUCUGCGAAGCGCUGCGUCACUCUGCGAAGCGCUGCGCAACUCAACUCAAC